rnacentral:lncRNA from 1 species
AAAGCAACAGAUUUUUGACAAGAUGAGAAAAUUACUCUUCCUGGUUCUUGCCAUAACAGCUUCUGUAGCUUCUGCCAGUCCACCAGUUCAGGAUGAGAAACUUCCUGAUCAAGCGGUGAAGGUGCCAGCGGAUGAAAAAGAACCAACAGCAGAGCACACAGAAGCAGAGCAAGGUCCUCUGAUGCAGCAUGAAGCUGUUGCAGAUUCAAGUAUGUUGGAGCCUGAUUCAGUGCUGCUGGAGCCAGAGACAACAGAGGAACACAGAGUACCAGAAGAGACACAAGUGAUGUUGGAGGAGCCUAUUCUAGAGGCAGAUUACCUGUCUGAAGAGAUGCCAGAGACAGAACUAGAGACUGAGCCAGAAAUAAUUGCCAUUCAGAUUAACAGAAACAUCGUACCUGUGGAGGAAUCUGUACAACUGUUAGAGUAUGAAACUAAUAUAGAGGUGGAAGAUGAAAAAGAAGAAAAUGCAGCAAAGGAGGAGCCUACACUUGAGGCUGAGUAUAUAGUGGUUGAAGAUCCAGAAAUACAAAUGGAACCUGGGAGAGAAAGAGCCCAAUAAUGCUGGCGGGAUGGAGAACUGUGUGGAGACAUGGAAUGAUCUGGCGUUCAGGGAUGUACCAUGCACAAUACCCAAACCAUUCAUCUGUUCCUGUCCAGUUUAGACAGCCAGAAGGUUAACCUAACCUGCUAUACAGUGACUUUUAUGAAAAAAUAAUAAAUAAUAAUCAUUAUUAUUAUUAUUGCUUUUAAAAUAAAAAUCUAUAAGGGUCAUUCAGUAAUCAACCCAUGUUUUUAUUAAAUUUGUCUUGCAUUGUUUAUAAAAAAAUAAUAAUAAUAAAAUUUUUAAUAAACCACAACUGAUUCAUUUAGUUUUAAGCAAUUUGUUUACUAGCUAGAACACUUCUACUGUAUGUUUAAAUAAAGCUGUAAAAUCAUAUUAAAUAAAAGUGAAUCUUAUUGUCAUAAAAGUGUUUUUGUUAUAUUUUAUCACUGUAUCUAUGACUGUAAUUUUCAUUCCAAUAGUAAUCAUUUAGCUGUUAACUGAAAGGUCACUCAGUGUUAAAUCCUUGCAGAGCUUUUUUAACUAAAGCUUCACAAAGGCUUUAGCCAGGUGCUGGUAUGCUAAUAGCUAUCAUCACCAUGAGCCUACCAUGGAGGCCGUUUUCCAUCCCAUCAUCUGGCCAAGAAUGCCUGGGUUCCUGUGUUUCUAUGCAUCAUCUAUGGGAUAAAGAAAGAGCCACUUGGUGUGACACACACGUUUGUUGUGAAGCCAGCGGUGGACCCUGGGACAGUCAUAAUGUUACAAAUGAACUUUAGUACAAGAGGUUUUAAAGGUAAAGUGUAUCAUUUUUGUGCCACUAGCAUCACCAAACAGACUUUUACAUUUAAAACAGUAAUAAAAAUAAAAAGAAUUGUGAAAUAAGAAUAUACACUGCUCAUGUAUUCUGAUUCCUGGACUCAAGACUAUAGAAACAAGAAUUGUUAAAUUCACCAAAUAAGUGCAUGUGUAAUAAACCAAAUAUUCCACCUAAAUUUCAUCUUAAACCAGUAAAGUUUUUGUAUUUGUUUCAGAUGGUACAGAUAUGUGCAUGAUCACAUUUUCAUGUGCAUUUUCACAUUAGGCUGGUUGAACAGUUGUAUAAUAAAUAUUUAAAAAUACCGUAGUGCUAUUUUGGAGAAUAUCCGCUGAACGCAAGCAGCUUAUGCUCUUCUGUGUCAGCCGCGACACAAGGAUACGUUUUCUACAUGUAUUUACCAUAGACUGUAGGUAUUUACACUUUGAUUUGAAAGAAAACAGUGCAUCUGUGCAGGGUGGCUGAUACAGAAGAGCGUAAGCUGCUUGUGUUCAGCGGAUGUUCUCCAAAAUGGCGCUACGGUGAUGUGAAGAGACAGAGAGGAGAUGAAUUGUUGAAUAAAGUUUUCAUCGCCUACAAAAAGUAUUCUUGUCGCUUCACAACAUUACGGCUGAACCACUGAUGGCAGAUGGACUAUUCUGAUGAUGUCUUUCAUACUUUUCUGGACCAUGACAGUGUAAUUUACUUGGCAGUCAAUAGAACAGUCACAAACCUCCUGGUUUUCAUCCAAAAUACCUUAAAAAGACGAACGAAGCUUUUACGGGUUUGGAGCAUGGGGGUAAAUGAUUCAGGACAAAAUUUUCAUUUUGGGGUGGAGUAUCCCUUUAAUAGUAUGAAAUGUCCAUUCAGGAAUAGUCGAUAGAGACAGCAACAACAUGAGGAUGCGCAAAGCUGAAGUAUUUACAUAAAUAGGUUGCACACUGUCUUCGUCCAAUCACUGACACAGCAAAUAUGCAAAUAAGAACAUCUAGCAUUUUUAUCAAUAUAUAUAUAUACACAAACCUGAAUUCCAAAAAAGUUGGGACACUGUACAAAUUGUGAAUAAAAACAGAAUGCAAUGAUGUGGAAGUUUCAAAUUUAAAUAUUUUAUUCAGAAUACAACAUAGAUGACAUAUCAAAUGUUUAAACUGAGAAAAUGUAUAAUUUUAAGGGAAAAAUAAGUUGAUUUUAAAUUUCAUGGCAUCAACACAUCUGAAAAAAGUUGGGACCAAGGCCAUGUUUACCACUGUGUGGCAUCCCCUCUUCUUUUUAUAACAGUCUGCAAACGUCUGGGGACUGAGGAGACAAGUUGCUCAAGUUUAGGAUUAGGAAUGUUGUCCCAUUCUUGUCUAAAACAGGCUUCUAGUUGCUCAACUGUCUUAGGUCUUCUUUGUCGCAUCUUCCUCUUUAUGAUGCGCCAAAUGUUUUCUCUGGGUGAAAGAUCUGGACUGCAGGCUGGCCAUUUCAGAACCCAGAUCCUUCUUCUACGCAGCCAUGAUGUUGUACUUGAUGCAGUAUGUGGUCUGGCAUUGUCAUGUUGAAAAAUGCAAGGUCUUCCCUGAAAGAGACGACGUCUGGAUGGGAGCAUAUGUUGUUCUAGGUUGUUCUAGAACUUGGAUAUACCUUUCAGCAUUGAUGGUGCCUUUCCAGAUGUGUAAGCUGCCCAUGCCACACACACUCAUGCAACCCCAUCAGAGAUGCAGGCUUCUGAACUGAGCGCUGAUAACAAUUUGGAUUGUCCUUGUUCUCUUUAGUCCAGAUGACAUGACGUCCUAGUUUUCCAAAAAGAACUUCAAAUUUUGAUUCGUCUGACCACAGAACAGUUUUCCACUUUGCCACAGUCCAUUUUAAAUGAGCCUUGGCCCAGAGAAAACGCCUGCGCUUCUGGAUCAUGUUUAGAUAUGGCUUCUUUUUUGACCUAUAGAGUUUUAGCCGGCAACGGCGAAAUGGCACAGUGGAUUGUGUUCACCGACAAAGUUUUCUGGAAGUAUUCCUGAGCCCAUGUUGUGAUUUCUAUUACAGUAGCAUUCCUGUAUGUGAUGCAGUGCCGUCUAAGGGCCCGAAGAUCACAGGCAUCCAGUAUGGUUUUCCAGCCUUGACCCUUACGCACAGAGAUUGUUCCAGAUUCUCUGAAUCUUUGGAUGAUAUUAUGCACUGUAGAUGAUGAUAACUUCAAACUCUUUGCAAUUUUUCUCUGAGAAACUCCUUUCUGAUAUUGCUCCACUAUUUUUCACCGAAGCAUUGGGGGAAUUGGUGAUCCUCUGCCCAUCUUGACUUCUGAGAGACACUGCCACUCUGAGAGGCUCUUUUUAUACCCAAUCAUGUUGCCAAUUGACCUAAUAAGUUGCAAAUUGGUCCUCCAGCUGUUGACCUAAUAAGUUGCAAAUUGGUCCUCCAGCUGUUCCUUAUAUGUACAUUUAACUUUUCCGGCCUCUUAUUGCUACCUGUCCCAACUUUUUUGGAAUGUGUAGCUCUCAUGAAAUCCAAAAUGAGCCAAUAUUUGGCAUGAAAUUUCAAAAUGUCUCACUUUCAACAUUUGAUAUGUUAUCUAUAUUCUAUUGUGAAUAAAAUAGUUUAUGAGAUUUGUAAAUUAUUCCAUUCCUUUUUUACUCACAAUUUGUACAGUGUCCCAACUUUUUUGGAAUCAGGUUUGUAUAUAUAUUGUACACAUUAUGGUUAAUACGUGUCAACUACUGAUCAUUAAUAUUAAUCGUAUUGAGCGUUAAUACGUGUCAACCACUUUUUGAGCAUAGAUCCAACUUAAACAUUUGUAAAUCUUCAAUGCUUUGGUGCACAGACUUAAAUUUAGUGUCUUUCUAAAGAAGAUACUUUGCAGAUUAUUGGCUGAAGUGAAAAUUAUUUUUAAUUUCACUUUAACUUUUUUCUCACUUCAGCCAACAAUUCAAUUUUAUAUCAAGUUAUUGAAUAUAAAAGAUGAAUCUAAACAAAUUGUGUUGCAAAUUUGAGGUUGAUUUCCAAUAAACAAAUUGUGUUGCAAAUUUGAGGUUGAUUUCCAAAACAUGAGCUUUCAGUAAAGGUUUCUUUUUUUGGGGUGUAGUACAAAACAUUCCACCAGAUGAAAUUUGUUUCCAAUGAAGUAAUUUUUUUCAGCACAAUUUAACCUUUUUCAUUUCGUGUCCAUGAAUUUAGGGUUUGUGUGUGUAUGUUUGUUCAUAUAGCAAGUGCUAAAACCUUGACCAAGUUUCAUACCAUUACGAUAAAGAAUUUUUUUUUUUAAAGUAUAAAUUUUACUGUCAAAGUAAAGUAUUUACAGUGUGAAACCUCAGCCUACUAAUAAACAGGGUUAAAUUGUUAUUGUUAAUUGUAAUUGUAAAUAACCCCAGCUAAAUGUUGAGCAGUGCAAGGUGUGAAGCAAGAUAACCUAAGAUUCUGCUUACCUGGGGUUUAGAAUGACGCAGAGUUAACUAAAACCUUAUAUUAGGAGUUCUUUAGUGUUUUGUAGAGUUUGCAAAGAUUGCAUGUGUAUGUGUUUGCACACAGGCUGUGUCUUUCUGUCAGGAUUUGGAGCAGAACCGGGAACAUGUUGAUCUGCUGGAUAAAGCAGUGCUGGAACUUGGAGCAGGAACAGGACUGGUGUCCAUAUAGUGGCAAGUUCACUAG